ACGUUAGCGGCGGACGGGUGAGUAACACGUGGGUAACCUACCUAUAANACUGGGAUAACUUCGGGAAACCGGAGCUAAUACCGGAUAAUAUUUCGAACCGCAUGGUUCGAUAGUGAAAGAUGGUUUUGCUAUCACUUAUAGAUGGACCCGCGCCGUAUUAGCUAGUUGGUAAGGUAACGGCUUACCAAGGCGACGAUACGUAGCCGACCUGAGAGGGUGAUCGGCCACACUGGAACUGAGACACGGUCCAGACUCCUACGGGAGGCAGCAGGC
rnacentral:rRNA from 1 species